UGGGGAAUAUUGCGCAAUGGACGAAAGUCUGACGCAGCAACGCCGCGUGAGGGAUGACGGCCUUCGGGUUGUAAACCUCUUUCAGCAGGGACGAAGCGAGAGUGACGGUACCUGCAGAAGAAGGACCGGCCAACUACGUGCCAGCAGCCGCGGUAAUACGUAGGGUCCGAGCGUUGUCCGGAAUUAUUGGGCGUAAAGGGCUCGUAGGCGGUUCGUCACGUCGGGAGUGAAAACUCGGAGCUCAACUCCGAGCCUGCUUCCGAUACGGGCAGACUAGAGGUAGGCAGGGGAGAGCGGAACUCCUGGUGUAGCGGUGGAAUGCGCAGAUAUCAGGAAGAACACCGGUGGCGAAGGCGGCUCUCUGGGCCUUACCUGACGCUGAGGAGCGAAAGCGUGGGUAGCGAACA
rnacentral:rRNA from 1 species